UACGGGGGGGGUAAGCGUUGUUCGGAAUUACUGGGCGUAAAGGGCUCGUAGGCGGCCAACUAAGUCAGACGUGAAAUCCCUCGGCUUAACCGGGGAACUGCGUCUGAUACUGGAUGGCUUGAAUCCGGGAGAGGGAUGCGGAAUUCCAGGUGUAGCGGUGAAAUGCGUAGAUAUCUGGAGGAACACCGAUGGCGAAGGCAGGUCUCUGGGCCAUUACUGACACUGAGAAGCGAAAGCAUGGGGAGCGAACAGG
rnacentral:rRNA from 1 species